CCUACGGGAGGCAGCAGUGGGGAAUAUUGGACAAUGGGGGCAACCCUGAUCCAGCCAUGCCGCGUGUGUGAAGAAGGCCCUCGGGUUGUAAAGCACUUUCAGUGAGGAAGAACGCCUGGUGGUUAAUACCCAUCAGGAAAGACAUCACUCACAGAAGAAGCACCGGCUAACUCCGUGCCAGCAGCCGCGGUAAUACGGAGGGUGCGAGCGUUAAUCGGAAUUACUGGGCGUAAAGCGCGCGUAGGUGGCUUGAUAAGCCGGUUGUGAAAGCCCCGGGCUCAACCUGGGAACGGCAUCCGGAACUGUCCAGCUAGAGUGCAGGAGAGGAAGGUAGAAUUCCCGGUUUAACGGUGAAAUCCGUAGAGAUCGGGAGGAAUACCAGUGGCGAAGGCGGCCUUCUGGACUGACACUGACACUGAGGUGCGAAAUCGUGGGUAGAAAACAGGAUUAGAUACCCGGGUAGUC
rnacentral:rRNA from 1 species